rnacentral:rRNA from 1 species
GCGCUGCAUUAGCUAGUUGGUAAGGUAACGGCUUACCAAGGCAACGAUGCAUAGCCGACCUGAGAGGGUGAUCGGCCACACUGGAACUGAGACACGGUCCAGACUCCUACGGGAGGCAGCAGUAGGGAAUCUUCCGCAAUGGGCGAAAGCCUGACGGAGCAACGCCGCGUGAGUGAUGAAGGUCUUCGGAUCGUAAAACUCUGUUAUUAGGGAAGAACAUAUGUGUAAGUAACUGUGCACAUCUUGACGGUACCUAAUCAGAAAGCCACGGCUAACUACGUGCCAGCAGCCGCGGUAAUACGUAGGUGGCAAGCGUUAUCCGGAAUUAUUGGGCGUAAAGCGCGCGUAGGCGGUUUUUUAAGUCUGAUGUGAAA